rnacentral:ncRNA from 1 species
CUGACAUGUGUGCGAGUUAACGGGCGAGUAAACCCGUAAGGCGCAAGGAAGCUGACUGGUGGGAUCCCCUAGUGGGUUGCACCACCGACCGACCUUGAUCUUCUGAGAAGGGUUCGAGUGUGAGCAUGCCUGUCGG